rnacentral:rRNA from 1 species
CGCGCGGGAUUGUGGGGGCACGUUCCGAACGGGGCGCUAAUACCGCAUACGUCCUACGGGAGAAAGUGGGGGAUCUUCGGCACUCAAGCUAUCAGAUGAGCCUAGGUCGGAUUAGCUAGUUGGUGCAGGUAAAGGCUCACCAAGGCGACGAUCCGUAACUGGUCUGAGAGGAUGAUCAGUCACACUGGAACUGAGACACGGUCCAGACUCCUACGGGAGGCAGCAGUGGGGAAUAUUGGACAAUGGGCGAAAGCCUGAUCCAGCCAUGCCGCGUGUGUGAAGAAGGUCUUCGGAUUGUAAAGCACUUUAAGUUGGGAGGAAGGGCAGUAAGUUAAUACCUUGCUGUUUUGACGUUACCGACAGAAUAAGCACCGGCUAACUCUGUGCCAGCAGCCGCGGUAAUACAGAGGGUGCAAGCGUUAAUCGGAAUUACUGGGCGUAAAGCGUGUGUAGGUGGUUCGUUAAGUUGGAUGUGUAAGCCCCGGGCUCAACCUGGGAACUGCAUCCAAAACUGGCGAGCUAGAGUAUGGUAGAGGGUGGUGGAAUUUCCUGUGUAGCGGUGAAAUGCGUAGAUAUAGGAAGGAACACCAGUGA